CAAGCCAUUACAGCUCUCCCACUGAUGCAUGAAGAAUCCUGGCGAUUGCUGCCGCCUGGACCUCCCAAUCGCGCGUCUCGCGCCUCAGUUUGGAGCGUCCCUGUGCUGUGAGCGCGUAGUACUUCGCACGCCGGUUGCUCUCCGAAGCUCUCCACUCACCACUGAUCAGCCCAUCGCGCUCCAAACGGCGGAAAGCUGGAAAGAGCGACCCGGCAUUGACCUGGAAGACGCCUUUACUGAUCUGCUCGAUGCGAGUGCCAAUCCCGUAGCCGUGCAUCGGCUCUAGGGCGAGCGUCUUCAGGAUCAGCAUGUCCAGGGUGCCCGGCACCAGGCCGCCCUGUUUGUCUGCCGCGC
rnacentral:misc_RNA from 1 species